rnacentral:lncRNA from 1 species
GAACAUUUUUACUACCAUUUCCACUUCCCUUGUGGUGCCCUCUGCACGAGUCCCGAUGACUUGUUCUCCGUAUUCAUAAUCUCGCCAUUUCAAGAAAGUUAUCAGUGGGACCGCACAGCCGCAGUCAUACAGCGUGUGGCUGUUACAGUUGGCUUCUCUCAAGCGACUGCUUGAGAAUGUAAUAGUCGUUUAUCUCUUCUAGUGGUUGAGUUCCACGCUGGGGAGGGCCCCAGUUCUUGCCACCGGUUCCUCAGGGGAGCUCAGUGGCAGGAUGAAAAUAUCCAGUGAGAAAAGAAAGGGGGCGCUGUUCACUAGAACUCUCUGCUCCCCUGAAAAGUGGAGAAGCAGGGUUAACCUUUCUUUGAGGAAUACAAAUACGAACGAAGUCUAGGGUGGCAUGCCCGCUCAGGGGCAGGGAACGGGGAACACCAGUUGGCCAUCUCGGUGUGAUGCAGGCGUUGAGGUUGCUUCCUUGCGGAGGAGGAAACGAGCAUUUCACUGUGGGCCACACAGGGGAUUCACCCCCAGGCCUCUGAAUUCUAGCUGGGUGCAGAGGGCUCCGGUGGGAGGCAGCCUUCUCUCCUCACCCGCAGUGAUGAUUUUCUCUUUCUGGAGGGAGAACGGAGAACAUGUCUGACGCCGAGGAAGAGGUGGUGGAGUACGAGGACCGGAAGAGGAAGACUGGAGCGAAGAAGAGGAAGACGAGCAAGAGGAGGCAGUGGAGGAGGAGGAUGGUGAGGCCGAGCCUGAUCCCGAGGGUGAGGCAGAGGCAGAGGAGGACAAGGCAGAAGAGGUUGGUCCUGAUGAAGAAGCCAGAGAUGCUGAAGAUGGUCCAGUAGAGGACUCCAAACCCAAGCCCAGCAGGCUCUUCAUGCCCAACUUGGUGCCACCCAAGAUCCCUGACGGAGAGAGAGUGGACUUUGAUGACAUCCACAGGAAGCGCAUGGAGAAGGACCUGAACGAGCUGCAGACUCUGAUCGAGGCUCACUUCGAGAACAGGAAGAAGGAGGAAGAGGAGCUCAUUUCUCUCAAAGACAGGAUCGAAAAGCGUCGGGCAGAGCGGGCUGAACAGCAGCGUAUUCGCAAUGAACGAGAGAAGGAAAGGCAGAACCGCCUGGCUGAAGAGAGGGCCCGGCGUGAGGAGGAGGAGAACAGGAGGAAGGCUGAAGAUGAGGCCCGGAAGAAGAAGGCUCUGUCCAACAUGAUGCAUUUUGGAGGGUACAUCCAGAAGACAGAGCGGAAGAGUGGGAAGAGACAGACAGAGCGAGAGAAGAAGAAGAAGAUUCUGGCAGAGAGGAGGAAGGUGCUGGCCAUCGACCACCUGAAUGAAGACCAGCUGAGAGAGAAGGCCAAGGAGCUAUGGCAGAGUAUCCACAACCUGGAGGCCGAGAAGUUCGACCUGCAGGAAAAGUUCAAGCAGCAGAAAUACGAAAUCAACGUUCUGCGAAACAGGAUCAACGACAACCAGAAAGUCUUCCUUCUUCCAGCCUUGGGCACAGCACCCAGUGUAGAGUGGGACAGGGGGCCAACGCAGUUGUCAUAUGCUAUCCCUGCUCCAGAAUGUUCAUCUCAACCCUUAGUCUCUCCUCGCCUGCCCUCUGCCCCAUUGAGAACUGCUACCCCAUUGCCUCCCUCUGAUGGGCUCGUGUUUCUCCUGCAGCUCCAAAACUCGUGGGAAGGCCAAAGUCACCGGGCGUUGGAAAUAGAUGGAACUGUGUUCGACAAAGCUCUGCUCCUUGCCUGUGCCCUUGCCCUGUGAAUCCCAGCUCUAGGUCUUGCCAGGCA